AAUAUAUAUCAACUUCCGGUAUUCAAGGAGACUAACAAAACUUGAACUUGGCCAUAAUCAUGGCAAGUUUAGGGCCUCGGUUCUUAACGCAAGGAAAAGUUUGUGCUAAAAAUGUUCUAAGAUCACCUUUACUGAGUGCUGCUUUACCGAGCUGCACACAAGUCGCAAACUUAAGAUCAGUUAACAACCCAUUUCCUCUGCCUCCACGUAAAAAGCCGUUCACUCACAGAUACAACAUCUUUUGGCAGCUACUGGACAGUCCCAUACCGCGCAUGAAUGAAAAUUCCAUCGUGGUCGUAGUUGAAGGAAACAUAGGAACCGGGAAGAAAGAGUUGGCAAAGAAACUAGCGGAGGAGUUUGAUUUGAAGUACAUUGAUCCCAUCGACUAUGACCAACUUUAUAUUGAUAAAAAUUGUAUGCCAGGCUUUGAUUACAGGAUCAUCAAUAGUUGUUCUCCUGAACGUGUAAUGUUCAACAGCUUGGAUACGUUUUGGGCAACAGAAAAAGUACAAGAAAACCCACUGAUUUUGAUGUCACAGUUUGAGAUGUUCCACCUCAGAUGGCACUCGUACCUCAAAGCGCUAGUACAUAUUUGUAAUACUGGACAAGGUGUUGUUAUGCCUCGAAAUGUCUACAGUGACAUUGUGUUUUGCUAUGCCAUGAUGAAGAAAAAACUCUUCCCCAGAAGAGUGUAUAAAGAAUUUGAGAAUUACGUGGACAAUGCCAUGAAACACCUAUGGGCGCCACAUCUCGUUAUUUAUCUGGAUGCCACCCCAGCCUAUUGCCUAAAGAAGAUCAAAGACAGAAAUAUGUCCUAUGAAGUGAACAGUCCUAUAUUGAAAGAUGAGGAUUUCUUGUCCUACAUCAGCGAGGGGUAUGACAAAAUACUGCUGCCACAACUCGAGGAAGAAUCUGAAGUCCUGGUUCUGGAUGCUGAUAAUCUACCAGACUUUGAUUUAGUAAGUUGGGAUUAUUAUACCCCCCGAACGAAGUUCUCGGGAGUAUAUAGGAAUCACUCUGUCUGUCUGUCCGUCUCUCUGCAGAUUCGUGUCCAGGCCAUAACUUCUUUGUUCUUUGACAUAGGCAUACCAUAAUUGGCACACAGGUGGAUCACCAUGAGACAAUGUGUCAAGUACCUUCAUGACCUCUAUAUGAUCUUGACCCUUGACCUCAAGGUCAAAAUUAAAGGUUUUUUACAAUGGAUUCGUGUCCGGGCCAUAACUUCCUUGUUCUUUGACAUAGGCAAAGUAUAUUUGGCACACAGGUGGAUCACCAUGACAUGAUGUGUCAGGUACCUUCAUGACCUCCAUAUGACCUUGACGUCAAGGUCAAAAUUAAAGGUUUUUUUUACAAUGGAAUCGUGUCCGGGCCAUGACUUCUUUGUUCUUUGACAUAGGCAUAUCGUAUUUGACACAUGAGUGUAUCACCAUAAGACGAUGUGUCAUGUACAUUCAUGACCUCUUUAUGACCUUGACCUUUGAUCUCAAGGUCAAAAUUAUAGGUUUAUACCAUGGAUUUGUGUUUGGACUAUAUCUUCCAUUUCCUUCUACAAAGGCAUACCAUAUUUUUACACUCAGGAAUAAGAUGGGCUGAUUAUAGACAUGUAGUGAGAUUCAAGUUUGUUCAAAUUGUGUCCCUGAGGGGCCAUAAAUGAUUCACAGAAAUGGUUUAAAGUUUUACUGUAAAACACAGUCAUAGCAAACCUCUAGGGCCAGUGAAAAACAGUUUGUUUUAAUCAAACAUCGUUUACUUAUAUCUUAUAAGAUUUUCAUUAUUUUCCUCUCAUAGGGGAAUGAAUAUCACUUUGCCAUAAGCGUGAAUUUGCUCUAAGCAGGUUCAUUAUAAGUGUGUUUUACUGUACAUAAGAAUGUAUAUGACAAAUGUAAUAAUUUUCUCUGAAAAUCUUUUUCUCGGGAACCAUAAGUGUAUACAUUUUCGUCAGUAUGCAAGCUUCUUAUUGUAGUGAACCAAAUUCACACCGUCACCCCAUGGAUUGGAUCAGGGCCACUAGAGGGGUUUACAUGAUAAUACAUGUAGAUAGGAACAUUUUACUAGUUACCAUGUGAGCAUCCUCAUGUAUUAUACAUUUAAGUUCACACUAUCCUCCAAGGACCUUUCCAGGGGACGCCCAUAUUAGGGGUUUCAAUAUGCAAUUUCCGAGUUGCCCAAUAGUUCUUUCCCUUUGUGGAACUCUUAUGCACAGUGAGACGCAAAACAUACUGUCCAUACGCGAUGGGUACAAUGCUUAUCGCUGUCUACAUAUAUUGCCUAAAGGCCGAUUAUCAUGCAACCACCCAAAUUGCAGGGACACACAAUAUUUGUAAGUUUUAAUUAUUAGUAUUUAAUAAUAAAAUAGCUCAAACAAAAAUGAAUAAUCACCAUUUUCUUCCGUUAAAAUAUCACUCGUGCAGAAGAGGAAAUAUAAAAUAAUUUCAUAUUGAAUUUAAUGACCUAAUUCAAUCAAAUAUUAUUCUUGAUAUGGUCAGUUUACUGUAUACCAACGGCUGAUAUAAACAAAAUUUACACUUUCAUUACUUUCAUCCGUAUUUACAAAGCUAGUCUAUAGUUUAUGUACACUACGGGCAACACAGAUUUCUUGUUUUCCGCGUUCCUGCGAUGGGAAAAAUUUAACGCGGUAAUCUAUAGGUAACUCAUGUAAACCGCGUUCUUAUCGCGGGAUGACUAUCAGUUAGCUUAUGUCAAAACUCGGACACACUGGUAAACAAGAAGUAGUAUUACCCAAGCUCAAGAUCACACUGCACAACAGAUUAGCGAGACAAAGAAAGUCAGUCACAGACACAGUUAAAAUCUAACAUUUUAUUAGAUUACAUUUACAUGUACAUGCUGUACCAGUGAGAUGUACAAUUUCCAAAGAAUGAAAUGAUAUGCGUAUAAUGAAUGUAAAUUGAAUAUUUAGGUUUUUUUCGCAAGUGAAUUCAUUAAUUCAUCAAAUAUUAUCGUAAACUUAAUAUUUUGCAUAAAUAAAAGAAAAAGUUGUGUAUUUGCCAUUUCUAACAAAUAAAAGGAUGUGUAACAAGAAUGUGUUAAGCUUAACUUUCAAUAUUCUUACAAUGAUAAUGAAAGGGGGUGUCUCCAACCUUUAUCUGACCACAUUUUAAGUGAUGUUGGCAGAGAAGCCAUGCUGCUUCAAAGGGACUUUUCCUCGUAAAACCCGUGCACGAGUAUUUCAAAACUCGGAUCCUCGGGAAGACAGGAAGUAUUAUGCAACCAUAGAUCCACACUAUUUACAACAUAACAAGAUGACAAAGAAAAUUAUAACAUUAAAUUUAUCACUAAAACAUACAUCUUCCAACAAGUAAUCCGAUAUGCAAGAUGAAUGUCUAAACAAAAACGAGAAGAUUCAAGUAGAAUUUAAAUUUACGUUUCAUUUUACUAACGACAUUCUCAGUUCUUCAAAUACAUGUACACAUGUAUCAUUGAAGACUGAGUUUUUGUUAAGAUCAAUGAUCUUAUUUUAAAAUUUCAAUACUCAAUAAAAAGAUAUAUAAGUAUCAAACAAAGAAACAUGCCCCAUCAAUUUUAGUCCCAGUUUAAUGUAUUCGCCAUGGUUUCGCUUUCCAACGAAUAAAACAUGAUUAUACAUGCAUUUCAAUGCCCAAUUAUUGUUUUACAAAUAGAAGUAUUUUUAUUUUAUCUUAGCAUGCCUUUUUGCGCGAUGAUUAUCAAGGAAAUAUCUAUUAUAAUAAGUUUCAGAAUUGGGUUUUAGAUUUAUUUUAAUCAUAUAUAUAUAAGCACAUUCAUUAAAUACUGUAAUAUGAGAAACUGAUUUUUCUUAAAUUCGAUGCAAUUAUAUCUUUUAUUUUUUUUAUUUUGAAUUUCAUUUAAAUGAAAUGAAUGCAGAAGAAAUAUACUUGUCCAUGCACGUGCAAUUUGCAUGUUUAAUCCAGUUGACUAGAAAACUACACUGUAAGCCAUGAUCUGACAGGAAAGACAGAACUGUCAAGGUAUAGAUCUCUUUGACAUGUUAUCUAAUAUUUUCUAAACUCUAGUUUCAAAUCAAUUUCUAUUAAAACGAUGUUUAUAAAUACCGAAUAACUUUCCCGUGAUCAUCACUGACAAUACGAAACCAAAAUCUCUGAAGUAAAUUAUGUUUUACAUUGUCGAUUAUACGGAUAAUGCACGUAUAUAUUCCUUCUGAAAUACUGCGAAAAUUUUUAAUUCACAAACAUACUUGCAUAAGAUUUAAAUUGUACUUUUCAAUUGAUUCUACCCAUUGGAAGUAGCUGUCAUUGGAGACAAGACACAGUAUUCAGACCUGUGCAAAUACAGAUAGUUUACUCCGCCGCGGUAUAAACGUGGUCCCGCGAAGCCCCGCUAUGUUGUAUGUGUGUUAAACAUUUGAAUAACAUCUUUAAUGCUAUGAAUACUAAAUUGAAA